AACGGCCGUAUCAUGCUGAAUAUACCGGUUCUCAUCGUUAGAUCACAGAGGUCAAGCAUCAUUGGGCGCGGUCAGAACUUGGGUGGGUGACCACCUGGGAACACCGCGUGCCGU